rnacentral:rRNA from 1 species
GUAGGUGGCAAGCGUUGUCCGGGAAUUAUUGGGGCGUAAAGCGCGCGCAGGCGGUUCUUUAAGUCUGAUGUGAAAGCCCACGGGCUCAACCGUGGAGGGUCAUUGGAAACUGGAGAACUUGGAGUACAGAAGAGGAAAGCGGAAUUCCACGUGUAGCGGUGAAAUGCGUAGAGAUGUGGAGGAACACCAGUGGCGAAGGCGGCUUUCUGGUCUGUAACUGACGCUGAGGCGCGAAAGCGUGGGGAGCAAACAGGAUUAGAUACCCUGGCAGUCCACGCCGUAAACGAUGAGUGCUAAGUGUUAGGGGGUUUCCGCCCCUUAGUGCUGCAGCUAACGCAUUAAGCACUCCGCCUGGGGAGUACGGCCGCAAAGGCUG